UACGGAGGAUCCGAGCGUUAUCCGGAUUUAUUGGGUUUAAAGGGUGCGUAGGCGGCCUUGUAAGUCAGGGGUGAAAGACGGUAGCUUAACUAUCGCAGUGCCUUUGAUACUGCAGGGCUUGAAUGUACUUGAGGUAGGCGGAAUGUGACAAGUAGCGGUGAAAUGCACAGAUAUGUCACAGAACACCAAUUGCGAAGGCAGCUUACUAAAGUAUGAUUGACGCUGAGGCACGAAAGCGUGGGGAUCAAACAGG
rnacentral:rRNA from 1 species